AAAAAAAAAAACUGAUUUCAGAAAAUUCAGAAAUUAUAAUUUACUUGAAUAAAAAAUUAAAAGAAAAGAUAAAAAAGAAUAAAAUAUACAAAAAAAAUUGAUUAAUUCAUUAGUAUUGAUAUCAGAAAAAAAAAUAAAAAAAACUUCAACUUGUUCAAGCUUCAGAUACAAUAAGAAAAAAUAAAAAAAAACUUCAAUUUUGGAAACAUAAAAAUUCAAUCUUUUCCCAAAACGUUUUCGAUAAAUUUUCAAUUAGAAUGAUAAGUCAAAAAAAAAAUAAUUACCAAUUCAAAACAAAAAUGUUAAAAUAACUAUAAAAAAAUAUGUAAUAAAAAAAUUCAAAAUUUAAGUAAAUAAAUAUUUAUUAUUAUUUUUAUAAAAUUUUGGUUUUUCUUAUUUUUAUGUUUGUAUUGUAUAAAACAAAUUGUUGUUUUUUUCUUAUUAAAAAUUUGAUUUGUUCUUUUGUUAUUUUUAAAAGAUUUCAUAUAUUGUUACGAUGCAUCGCGAUGGUGUGUGAAGUUACUAAAUCAAGUAUAUCCUUUCUAAUAAGGAAACUACAUAGCUGGAACCCUCAUGUUCCUAACGAGUGUUGAUGCUAAACUUUUAUUUCAUGCCACUACUUGCAACGAAUGCUUGACCCUAGUAGAAGGCUGGCAAGAUUUUCCAGUUGAGACGUAUGACCCUUCCAGCUUGUCCCACUCCUACAUUCACAUUGCUCUGCCAAUUCCCUCACGGAAAUUCUGGUUCUGAAGACCUAUAUUUUGGACAGAAAUUUUUGGAACAAUGAAAGAAGCAGGAGUAUGACGGUUUAUAAGUAUGUUUAAGUUGAUAGAAAAGUAAAAUUAAAGUUAGUGAGGCUAUUGGAAGUCCAAGGUGACGACCUUCAGAAGAAAAUCGUCCCCUUGAAGUAACAAUCUUCUUUAAUGACAUUUAGAGUCGUUCGUGGUAAGUGUGCGCAGCCGAUAAGUGUGCGCAUUGCUAUUUUCUCGAAACUUGUGUAAAAAAUUAAAUUUCUGCUAAUGCACAAUUAAUUAGAUACCUGAUCUUCGUCGAAGUCCGUUAUAUUUAAGCUUAUGUUGUUUUUAAUGUUUAGAGAAAAAGCAAAAGAAAAAAACGCUAACUUUCCUUAAAAUUUUUCACAAUUUUCAAACUCUGACAGUGAUCUGUCUUUGACUUAAAUCAUAAAGUGAAGGCAAUUGAUUUUUUUUAUUGAGCUUACUAUUUGAACUUUAUGUUCUAAUUAAAAUGUUAUUGUUUUUAGUAUUUAUUUAUUUAUAUUUUAUCAAAAACAAUAAAAAACUGCAUUUGGGGUAAGUGUACGCAAAAAUUUGGGGGCAAGUGUGCGCAUGCAAAUGCAUGGGAUUUCACUGAAAAUAUAUAUAUUUGCAUAAAAUGCUUCAAAAUGCAUCAACAUUUCACAGUGUACAGAAUGGAUCAAAAUAAUGAGAAAAUUGUAUGGGAGCGGGGGUCUUAGAUCCCUCGUUUGUCUUUAAAAAUUGAAAAAAAAAGAACAAUAUAUAUUCAUUAAGAUUACUAAGCAAAAGUUCCUGCGCACACUUACCGUACACCCUGCGCACACUUACCCCUUCGAAGGGGUAAGUGUGCGCAAUAUGACCUGUUUUGGUUUUCUUAGAAAAACCUAAUUAAUUUUAUAAAUAUUAGUUAUAUUUUAAUUGAAUUUAAGAAAUCAAAACAUGUAACUCUAAUAAUCAAUUUACUUUUUUUAUGUACAUACUAUAUUUUGCUUGUAAUACAUCUUCAAAGUCAAAAGUGCGCAUACUUACCACAAACGACUCUACAAAAAAAAAAAUACGUUGGGCGCCACACACUGGGGAUUUUGCGGAAAAAAGUCCAAAAUUUUAAGUACCUCGGAGAACAUUUUCUAUAGUAUUUCUAAAUUCUAGAAUAAAAUCUGAAUCAAAAUCAGAAAGAAUAACUAAAAUCGGACUUGUAGUUUACUUUUUAGAGCUUUAUAAAGGGACAAGUUGUUGAAAGUAUAAAAAACGAGGUGAAAAUACCCUGAAAUUGAAGCUGUGUAAUUUUUUUUGCUUGAGCCAAAUCAUAGACUUUUAUUUUUCCGUAAAGAUGCCAUCAUUUGUCUAUUGUAAGUCGAAGACAUUAUUAAUUUUAAAGAUGUUAAUUAUUUUAUAUAAUUAUUUAAAGAAAAGAGAAAAAAAUGGCUUGAUUUUUUCAUAUUUUUGUAUAUACAUAUAAUUUUAGCUACACUUCCCUACAGUUAGAGAUUAUUAAAAACAUUUUCCUUAUAAAAUUAUCUUUCGAUAGAAGCUCAAUUUGGGUGCCACCAGGUGCCACUGCAUUUUUUAUUGGCAAUUGAAAACUUCAUUUGGUCGCAAAAAUGAUUUUCUUAAAAAUUACAUAAAAUAACAAAAAGAAUAUAUUAAAAAUCAAUGGUAGCACUUACAGUUAUAAAUGAUACCUUUUUUAAAAGCCAGAAUAUUACGCAUAGUUCGAGCUUUAAAAUUAACUUCUUUAAGUUAAUUGUUUUUGAAAUAAUCGAUUUAAAUGUCAAAAUUUUGAAAAAAAAAAUAAAAAAAAAAACACAUCCAAUACUAUUUUUGACAAGACUGGGGAUUUAAAAACGAAAUUGAAUGAUGAAGAAAACUGCCUGAAUUGAUUCCUUACCAAACACUGAAAACCAUAUGUUUCUAUGUCUUCCGGUUUUCGUGAAAAUUGAAAAUCUCCUUUUUGUCAAAUUUUUAUUUUUUUGACUGCUAGAGAUCCUUAUCCGAAAAGUCAAAUGGAGAAAGUGAAAUUAAUUCGCAACACUUUUUUUAUAAAUCUACUUCAAUGAAAUUACCUACAUUUGAUUUUCUGACCUUGCUUCAGAAAAAUGAAUUUUCGUUAUACAUAGGUAUGUAGCUUGAAUGUUUUAUAAUAAUGGCAGUUUUUAGCAUUUCAUACGAAGAUCUAAGCAGAAAGCUCAUUGAAUGUCACAGAAUAGAUUUAAAUUGACAUUAUUAUUGAAAAAUACAGAUCCUGAAUCCUUCGCCCCACCUUUACUAAGAAGAAUCAGAGUCAUUUAAGUGAGUAAUGGCUCUCUUAACAGAAUAAACUCUUGAAAAAUUUGUGAUGCCAAUAUAUUUUAAAUUGCAUAAAUACGAUAGAAGUGGUUUUUUGAGUAUUUUUAAACUAUAAUUCGGGUUUUUCAUUUUGCGUGGACGUGGACCUAGACAACAGUAUAAUGAGUUAUUCGAGUUAUUCGUUUUCAUUUAAUGUAAUUAAAAUCGGUAAGGUGGUUCCAAUAACAUACACAAAUAAAAAAAAAAUGCUUUGCGUACAAGUAAAUUGUAAAUAGCAAUUCUUAAAUUUUCUAAGAACAAUAUCUGGAUCCUUUAUUACUCUUACAAUAUUUUAAAAAGGCGUGGCAGUGGGUGUAAAUGACUAAUAAUGAUUUCUUUCGACUAAAGCUGUCAUUCCUGAAAAUAUCAUCUAAAUCGAUUCAGUGGUUCAGUUUUUAUUGAGUUUUUUCCGCACUCCCAUACAAAUUUCCUCAGUGUGCGCCAUUGAAAUGAACUUAGUAUUUGGCCAUAGGGGCUCUUUUGGAGUUUUGAAAUAGGGCGGCGGCAUGCUUGUCGAUGCGAAUAUCUUCUAAACGGUUAAAGCAACCAAUUUGAUGCCAAGGACUUUUUUGUAAAACAUUUAAGCCCUUACAAUAAUCCAUCUUACUAAUUUAAUAAUAAUGACUUUUCAGUGAAGUAGAAAAUUUUGAAAAGUAAAAAAAGUUUUUAUAUUUUUGUUUAACUUUGACCUCGAAUAUCUUUCAAAUGGUUAAUAAGACCUUUUUUGUGGAACAAUCUGUUUCCUACAAGAAUAUGUCAUGCGCGUUUGAUUCUAUUAUAAUUUUUCAAUUUGUUACAAAAUUAAGAACAAAAAACGAAUUUUUAAAGAUUUUUUCGAUUUUUAGACCUCAAAUAUCUACUAAACGGUUAGAUAAUUCAAAAAAGUGUAUUUAACCUUUUUUAUAGAGCGUUCAAUUUUCUACAAGAAUAUGUAAAAAAAAUUGGCUAAAAAUUCAAUUAAUAAAAAAAUAUUUUUUUUUGGUAGAAGCUUGAUGUAAAAAUGGAAAAUUGAAGAGCGGAGGACCUUCCCAUUAAGAUAAAGAGCUCAUAUUUGGUGAGUAUAUUCUAGAGGUGUCUAACAAUCGAGUUUUCGAAGUACCAAAUCAAAAAAACGAAUUUCGAUUUUUUUUGACCCACCCUAAUAUAUAUAUUAGUUCUUCCUCGAAGGUCAAGACUUCUCUAUAUGUAUAUAUAUUUCAGGAUCUUAUCCUUCUUUCCCCUAAUUCUCAUUUGGUUCUAUUAAUUCAUUUUGGAUAUGGGAACUUUGAGAGCAGGGCAUCUAUAGUUCUUUUAUGUAUAGAAUACAAAUUAGAAGAGGCACUUUCCGUGUCCACUCUAAUUUGUGAAACCUCGGGAUCACCAGCUAGUACCUAUACAACAUAAAAUUUGCUAGAUUAGAUCACCACAGUCUAUGCCUAGUUCAAACUACAUACCUCUGCGUUUUUUUUUUUUUCUAUUUUCUUUGUAAAAUAAAUGUUUAGUUUGGUGGUAUCUUCUUGGAUACUGAGGGGUUCGUCGGUACUCCAAUAAUCUCACUUUUGAUAACUAUAAAUUUAGUUAAUUUUUAAUUUGACGUAUUUCUUUUUUUAAUUUUAUAUAACUACCUUUAGGAUUGGAUUUUUCUUUGCUUUCACUCAAUUUUGUAGCGAAAUUAUUUAUAUUGGCGAGAUGUUGUUACUGUAGGCUAGGAUUUUUACGAUUUCUUUUUUUCUGGGGCGUGGAUAACACUGAAGGAAAUCGAUUACAAACAACGCUGCUUUGCUAAACUCUCUACCACGUUGUAUGCUGUCCGAGGACCGCAGUACACGUUGAAUAGGCAAUGUAGCAAAUGAUUUUUAUUCUUCCCUUUGAAUGAAAACAAUGAAUUUAAAGUAUUAAAAAUUAACAACAAUUUUAUUGAAUUUAAAUCUUAAUUUUAAUUUAAUCAUUACAAAUUAUUCAUUACACUGUGCAAGUCGAAAUUCUUGACAGGUGCGCGAAUAACUGUUUCGCCCUAUUUCGGACCCGAGAAAUCCAUUGGCAUCAUUAGUUUUUCGAUUUAUCGGUACGACUUCGAACAAUUUUUUUUUUGAAAGUUUUUUCAAUUAUUUUGAGAGUUUCCCACUGUUUUUAGUCAUUUUCAACCAAAAACAAUAUUUAUAUUGCUAACAAUUCUGCUCAAACGUUAUUUGCUACCAGUCGAAAGACAUUAUAAACAAUUUUGAACAAUUAAUUUGAAAGUUUAGUGAUUUUUUGAAGAAAUUAAAAAAAAAUCGACAUUUUUUACAUUUAUCGUUUUUUCGCUGUUUUUGUUCUCUUUUGCACAAAUACAUUGCAUGUUUUCCAUUAAAAAUUAAAUUAACUGUUAAUUUAGUGUUGGUUAAACUUCGACAAUCUAUCGAUAGCAUCGAUAACAAAAAAAUAUCGAGUAUAUCGAUACUUCACAACACUAUCGAUAGUUUCAAUACUUCCAAAUUAUUUUAUCACAAGGCUACCGAUAUUAUCGAUAGCUUUGAAAUUAAUUAAACACUUUUUGAACUACAAGUUAAGUUUUCAUUUUACAUUGGAUGUAAACAACGAAUUAACAUUGUGUUUGGUAGAUAUCAAUAGUUUCCAUUGUCGAUUGUAUCGAUAGUUUUAAGAAAAAACUAUCGAUAAUAUCGGUAGCCUUCUGGUAAAAUAAUUUGGAAGUAUUGAAACUAUCGAUAGUGUUGUGAAGUAUCGAUAUACUCGAUAUUUUUUUGUUAUCGAUGCUAUCGAUAGACUGUCGAAGUUUAACCAACACUAAAUUAACAGUUAAUUUAAUUUUUAAUGGAAAACAUGCAAUGUAUUUGUGCAAAAGAGAACAAAAACAGCGAAAAAACGAUAAAUGUAAAAAAUGUCGAUUUUUUUUUAAUUUCUUCAAAAAAAUCACUAAACUUUCAAAUAAAUUGUUAAAAAUUGUUUAUAAUGUCUUUCAACUGGUAGCAAAUAACGUUUGAGCAGAAUUAUUAGCUACAUAAAUAUUGUUUUUGGUUGAAAAUGACUAAAAACAGUGGGAAACUCACAAAAUAAUUGAAACAAACUUUCGAAAAAAAUUUUGUUCGAAGUCGUACCGAUAAAGCGAAAAACUAAUGACGCCAAUCGAUUUCUCGGGUCCGAAAUAGGGCGAAACUGUUAAUCGCACACCUGUCUCAAAAAUUUUUUUCAAAAAACUUGCACAGUGUUAUUAUUAUUAUAUAAACUCAUGUGGCAACCAUGGCAAAUAAAAGAAGAAAAGGGAGAAAAGAAAAUGACAGCUAACCAGACAAGCUUUGUGUGGGCGCUUAGUGUAAACUCCGCACACUCCACCAGCCGAGUUGCUUUUGCUGAUCAAAAGAAAUAUGCUCUCCAGAUUAGCUUCGUGUGGGCGCUUAGUAUAAACUCCGCACACUCCACCAACCGAGAUGCAACUUCAGUUGAAUGUGUAUUGGUGUGGUUGCUCAUCGAUAUGUGGACGCUUGUAAAACGUUGCAUUGAAGAACGCUUGUGAAGCGUCGCACAAUAUGAAUGCGCAAUAACACCAAUACUGGUGAAAAAAAACUAAAAUUAACUAAAACAUGGAGCAGCGUGGACCAGUUUAAGUUAAGGUUGUGCUGGAUUGAUGAACAAUUAAAUUAAGACACUUUUAACAGAUUAUGUCGGUUAAAUUUAAUACAUUAAGUUAAGAUAUGUAUAUCUAUGAAGGAAUUAAUACACGCAUACCUUUAUAUGAAAAGCAUAUUUGCAAGAUCACUUGCAAUACAAUGCGAUGCAAUUAAUGUUUUGAUGAUGAUGCUUUCGUGGGUUGAAGCUUGAAGGGGUGCGUAAGUUCACCUCUUCCCCGAUAAGAUGUAUGGUAGUAUGUUUGAUAUGGUAGUUAGUUUUUAUUUUUAAGGUAUUAUUAGUAUGCUUAAUUAUAAGGUACAUUAGAUUAUGCAUGUUAGUUUUAAGUCAUGUUUUUUUUUUAAUGAUAAUGUUUUUUUUUUUUUGAUGAUAAUGAAAUGGCUCACGUUACACUUUCUGUUAUAAAUGAAACAUUUUUACCAAUUUUCAUUGAUGUAACAAUUUUUUUUUCAGUUUUUGUAGUACUAAUUCCAAAUUUCAUAAUUUCUUGAAAAAAAAACACCCUUUCACUCAAAAUAAUUUUUUACUUUUUAUAGAUUCUUAAUUCUUGUACCAACCAAAACUAUUUCACCAAGUUUUAAAAAUUAAUAAAAUAUAAGUUAGCUGUUAUGAUACACACAACUUAACCAAUCAAAAAAACACCCUUUCAUCCAAAAUAUUUUUAAAAACUUUAUGAAUCCUUUGUCCCUGUUUUAUCUUAAGAGCAAUCGUAUUGACUUUGUUUUUAUGUCAUUAGAUUCAGCAUCAAAAAAUAGUUUGAAAACAUGUGUCAUAUGAUGAUAUUCAACAAACAAUUUUUUUCAGUAUAUUUUUGACCUUCACCCCGUCCCUCUUGUCCGCGAAAAAACACCCUUCCACCCAACUUUUUUUUAUAGACUUUUUUUGUACUUGGUUCUUAUCCCAAAAGCAAACUUUUUGCUUUUAUAUAAGCCUUUGUUGUUUAAAAAUGCAUUUUUUACCUGUACUAAUAAUAGUUUUGGUCAUAAUGAUUUUGCUGUGGGACAGAAGCUAAAAGUGUGUUUUGAUUUGGAUAAUAAUAACUUUCCUGUUCUAAAAGCUGGUUUUCGCUGGUAUAAUAAUUUGUUUCAAUGUUAUGUAAAUGUUGGGUUUUAGAUUGAGGAUGGUUUGCAGACUGCUUCUGAGUGUAAGCAUUAGAAACUGACAUAGGCUCCGGUGGUGGGUAAGAUCUGGAGCUUGUACUUGUUUCAUUUCUUUUUUCAGCAUAAUGAACAAGUAAAUUGUUGUUGAUAUCUUUCCAAUCUAUGGAAAUACCGUACAUAUUUAGUACUUCAUUCGCUGGACCAAUUAUUUUAUUGCGAAUUACUCUAAGAACGAUAUUUGCAUAAUUUGUACCUGCAAUUUGUGGCAUUAACCCAAAAACCUCUUCAACAUUGUUAAUGAAAUCAAAGAGCAAUCGCGGAUUGCCAUCGAAAGUUGGAAUAUGUUUCACUGCGUAUGGAAUUCGAAGUGAAUUAAAGACUUCUAAAGCAGGUGUUUUAUAUUCAUCGUUAAAUUAUUGUUUAUAAUACAGUCAAAUAAGGAGAAAAAAGGGGUAAAUCUCGGAAUGAAUGUUAAUAUAAAUUUUGUUUGCUCAAUAUCUUCCUUUUGCCAUUCUAUAACAUAUCUCAAAAGUCUAGACAAAUCUCAUGUCCGCUUGACGCGAUUUCAAGGUCAAAUCGCGAAAUGGAGAUUUUCAAAAUUAGCAAAAAUAGGCUAUGGUAUUAUAUACACAUAUGAUACAUGAUUUCAAGGUAUUUUUUAAUGCUGAUUUCAAAAAAUCCAAAAUUGUCUAUCUGACGUCUCUGGAAAAAGUUAUACCUGUUUUUCAUCUGUCUACUAAUAUUAUUAUAACAGUUGCAAGCUUACUGCCGAAAAACCCUUAAAAGUUAUGGUAGAUGAACCAAAUUUUGCAUGAAGAUUUUAGAAUCCAUCAUUAUUAAACAUCAAAACAAUCCAUUACAAAAAAUAUAUAUACCUACGAAACAAUGGUAUUUUUUUAUGGAAGGGCAAAUUUUAGGAUAUGCACUAAAAAAGAUUCUUGUUCAUCUUAGGAAUAAGUGCUAAUAGGCUAAUUUUUUUAUUUUAAUCUUUGUUUGGAUAUUCUUUAACUACCCUCAAAAAUCUAAAAAAAUCUCAUGGCCGCAUUUUAGAUUUUUUGGAAUCAGCAUUAAAAAAUACCUUGAAAUCAUGUAUCAUAUGUGUAUAUAAUACCAUAGCCUAUUAUUGCUAAUUUUGAAAACCUCCAUUUCGCGAUUUGACCUUGAAAUCGCGACAAGCGGACAUGAGAUUUUUCUAGACUUUUGAGAUAUGUUAUAGAAUGACAAAAGGAAGAUAUUGUACAAAAAAAAUUUCUAUUAACAUUUAUUCCGAUGUUAAACCCUUAUUUGACAGGAUUAUUAUUAUGUUUAUUAUUGUUUAAAUUUAUUAUUAUAUCAAUUUGCUUUAAUUUAAAAUAUUUUUGCUGUAUAUGCCACUUGGCCAAAAAUUAGUAAAUAACCCUAUUUUUUGUUUUUGCAAAAUCAAAUGUAUACCUAAAAUCCUAUGCUUAGUUUUUUUUUUUGUUUGCAUUGAUGCUAAUGUUAACGUUUCUAUUCCCUUUCUUUGUUGUUUGUACACAUAUUGUUACAUAUGCAAAUAAUUUUGACGUUGUCAAUUAUCUUGAACUAAAAUCUUUCUCUUUCUAUAAUCAACCACCGAGGUAACAACUUCUUGUAAUAUUCGCUAAUAAAUUGUUCAACCUAUUAUCUAUUCGAAUGUUUUUUUUUCUGCGUCGUUCGCUUCAAUUUAAUUAUUGUCAAAUUACUUAGAUUCCUGGUGUGAUUAAAAUACAUCUUUUAUUAAAUAUAAAGAAUUGAUAAAUAUCAAGCGAAACACGCUUAGAAAGCCUCCAAGAUGCUUGGAAUAAAUUUAUAACUUUUAAGUUUUUCAGAACAAGAAGAUUACGUAGAUCCUAGUGAUGAUUUUUCGGAAUACGAAAGUAAAUAUUUCACUGCCCAACCAACCUUCGUAAAGGAAAUUCGCGAACGUAAAUUAUCUUCACCACCCGCUCCACCUACUUCCGCCGAAACGGUUAUCGAAAAGUUAGCUAGCCAGCAAGCUUUAUUUCUUAAAAAACUUAAUGAGCAAAAAAAAAAAAACGGCAUGUUCUAUUGCGUUACCUGAGCUGUCAAUUACGGUAUUUUUCGGUGAUUAUAAGGAAUGGCCCAGCUUCAGGGAUCAUUUUAUUGGCUCUAUAGAUAGUAACUCCGAUAUAUCUCAUACACAAAAAUUUCAUUAUUUCAUUAUCUGAAAUCUUUCCUAUGCGGAGAGCCAGCUAAUCUUAUUCGCGAUAUAAAGACAUCGGAUAUAAAUUAUCUUGAUGCUUGGGACAAAUUAGAGAAGCACUACGAUCGACAAAACUUUAUGAUACAGUCGCAUAUACAAUCGCUCCAGUCAAUUCCAAACAUUAACGCGUCUAAUAUUCAAUCCCUUCGUAAACUUACCUAUGCAGCCGAUGAAACAGUUCGAGGUUUGUACUCUUUGGGAGCCCCAUGGCGAGACCCUUGGGUCAUUUCUCUUUUAUCGUUAACAUUAGACCACGAUACCAAAGAGGCUUGGGCGCUAGAGGUAGGGGCAAGAUCCAAUGCAUCUAUUGAUGAAUUUUUAGUAUUUUUGAACUCCCGUUGUGAUGCUUUGGAGUCUGCACAAUUGCUUUCUCGUCCGACUACUCAAUAUCGUGUGAAGAAUCCAAAGCUCAUUCAGUCUCAUUUUGUGGAAACUACUACAAGCUGUCCAAAGAGCAAAGCAGAUCAUUCAUUGAACCAAUGUCCACAUUUUCUUUCGCUUGACACCAUUACACCUCGUUCAUUUGUUAAAGAAAAUUCAAUAUGUUUUAAUUGUCUUCGUUCUGGUCAUUCUUCGCAGAAAUGCCAUUCCAAAUUUCGUUGCCGCACUUGUCACGCGCGUCACUAACUGGUUCAUCCACAAUUUCCGACAACGGUCUCUUCAGGUCAUAACUCUUCGUCUUCUUUUCCUGGUACUUCCUCGACCAAUCCUAUAACACCAAAUUCUAUUAGCACAACAACUUCGCCAAUCUCGCUUUGCUCAUCGGUAGCUCAGUCAAUUAACUUACAUUUCAUUCAAACAACAAAUAAUUUAAUGAAUUUAGAAGCUGGUGCAAUAGAGUCAUCUCUUUUUAACUCUUUUUAAUGUAAAAUUCGUUUGUUUAUUUACUUUUUGUAAGAGAGCUAUUUUUUGUAAGCUAUGUAUUUAAUUUUGUAUAAGCGAGUUGUUUUUGUUUUUAAAUGUCAUUCUCAGCUUUGUUCGUUUCAUUUUGUUUUAUUAAACUCGCGCUGAAGAUGAACUUUCAAUUUAAGGUUCGAAAUGCAUUCGAUAAAAUAAUUUAAAAACUAAAUUUCAUCUGUGUUUUUAUAUUUUGUUAUCGAUUUUUUGCGGUCAAUAAGAAAUAAAAUUCAAUUCUAUAAAAAAUUAACUUACAUUCUGAGGUUCAUUCUCAAGUUCUAUUGCUCAUAGCUAUUGUACAAGUGCAUGAUAA